CAUGCGGGGCGCAAACUCGUGAACCAUGAGAUCAUGACCUGAGCUGGAGUCAGACAUGGAACUGACCAGGAAUUCAGGUGCCCCUGACCAGUCCUAUCUUUAAGGCCUGUAUCUCUCUGAGAAUGUUACUUUUUAUUGUACUUUUUAAAGUUAUUUUCCUCCCCGUUUCUGUAUCCUCAAAAUUAUUUUCUCUAUUUUGGCCUCUCUUUCACGUUAGAUGCUUUCCUCAGAUACCUAUUAAUCACUGAAUGCCUCUUCACGUUUAGCAGUGAAACACGUUUAGCAGCGAAAGCCAGUUGGGUGCUCUGAGCAUAGUCAUGGGACCUGUGAGAUUUAAGCAUCACUGAAGAGUGAUCUCACUGAGCUGUUUGUAGGAAAUUUCCAAUGUGGGUGUCUCCAGAUUUCUCCUCUUGGGCUGGUCAGAUUUUCCAGAGAAUGCUUUUCCUGUUUCCUGCCUGGAAGGUAGGAAAGUUUUCAACGUUCAUCGUUCGGCAUGUAUAUUGCCACCACCCCCAGACCCUCAGACAGGGUGUCAACUUACAAUGCGAGGACUCUGUCUUGUCCCCUCUCUUGAGGACAUAACCUCCAGCACGUCUAGAAUAGCAUGGAGCAACGGAGCAUUCAUUGUGUGGUUUCACUGUGGUCUCUGUCCUUAGCUCGUACAUUUCUUGCCUUGGGGGAAGCCAGCCUCCAUGUUUUCCGGAUAUGCAGAGGGACAGAUGGAAAGAUCCAAGAGGACAGGAGCGGAGGCCUCCUGCCAGUGACCAACAUGAACUUGCCAGGCAUGUGAGUGACCCACCUCGUUGGUGGGUCCCAUAGUGCAGUAAGUAGACUCUGGAGAUGACUGAGCCUUGGUGGAUAUUUUGACGGCAGCCAAAGCUGCUCCCAGAUUCCUGACCCAUAGAAACCGUGAGAGAUGAUAAGUAUUAAUUGCUAAAUUGUGGCGGGAGGUAAUUUGUUAUGUGCUAAUAAACAUUUAACACAGA